UUAUGAUAAUGAUGGUGAUGAUGAUGAUGAUGAUGAUGAUGAUCAACAUCAUCAUCAUUAUCAUCAUUGUCAUCAUUAUCGUCGUCGUCGUCGUCAUCAUCAUCAUCAUCAUCAUCAAUA
rnacentral:pre_miRNA from 1 species